CUAUGAAAAGUAAAGUAAAAGAAAAAAACUGCGAAAGAUGCGACAUAUCGACCGAAUUCAUUCCCAUGGCAGUUACCUUUGCCGACUGUUAACGAAAUUGGAAAUGAAGUAAAUACAGCAGUGCGAGGCGCGAGAAGUGUGAGAGAGCCGAGAGCGUGUGUGUUCCUUUUCUCAGAGAGCAGAUCUGAAUAUAGAUCUCUCUCUGUCUACAAUGGAGUACAUAGACAACAUGCCGCCAAUGGAUCUGAUGCGCUCGGAGAAGAUGACUUUCGUUCAGCUUAUUAUUCCUUUUGAGUCCGCUCAUCGUGCUGUCACUUACCUUGGCCAACUCGGACUUCUCCAAUUCCGUGAUCUAAAUGCCGAAAAGAGCCCUUUCCAGAGAACAUUUGUAAACCAGGUAAAAAGAUGCGCCGAGAUGUCAAGAAAACUACGAUAUUUCAAAGAUCAGAUACACAAAGCCGGUCUAUUGCCUCCUCCUCUUCCUGCUUCCCAACCUGAUAUUGAAUUAGAAGAAUUGGAGAUACAACUGGCAGAGCAUGAACAUGAGUUGAUUGAAAUGAAUGCUAAUAGUGAGAAAUUGCGGCAAUCAUAUAAUGAGCUGCUUGAGUUUAAGAUGGUAUUGCAAAAGGCUAGUGGCUUCCUUGUUUCAAGUAGUCAUACCACUGAUCAGGAAACAGAACUGGUUGAAAAUGUGUACUCCAAUGAUAACCAUGCUGAUACAGCAUCAUUACUUGAGCAGGAGAUGCGUUCAGAACUGUCAAAUCAGUCUGGAGUUAGAUUUAUUAGUGGCAUUAUCUGCAAGUCCAAGGUUGUUCAAUUUGAAAGAAUGCUGUUUCGUGCUACAAGGGGUAAUAUGCUUUUCAAUCAGGCAGUUGCUGAUGAUGAGAUACUGGAUCCUUCCUCAAACGAAAUGGUUGAGAAAGUAGUCUUUGUAGUAUUCUUUUCAGGUGAGCAGGCGAGAACAAAAAUACUGAAAAUAUGUGAGGCAUUUGGUGCAAAUUGCUAUCCUGUUCCUGAAGACACGACAAAGAGAAGGCAGAUAACUCAAGAAGUUUUGUUUCGGCUAUCUGAAUUAGAGACCACUCUGGAUGCUGGACUGCGCCAUAGAGAUAAGGCUUUGACCUCCAUAGGGUAUCACCUUACAAAAUGGAUAAACAUGGUUAAAACACAAAAGGCAGUGUAUGACACGUUAAAUAUGCUAAAUUUCGAUGUUACAAAGAAGUGCCUUGUGGGUGAGGGCUGGUGUCCAAUAUUUGCGAAGACCAAGAUACAAGAGGCUUUGCAGCGUGGAACAUUUGAUAGCAGUUCACAAGUGGGCAUUAUAUUUCAUGUGAUGGAUGCUGUGGAGUCACCUCCAACAUACUUUAGGACAAACAGUUUCACAAAUGCAUUUCAAGAAAUUGUUGAUGCAUAUGGUGUUGCUAAAUACCAGGAGGCAAAUCCAGCUGUUUAUACCAUUGUUACAUUUCCUUUCCUUUUUGCUGUGAUGUUUGGGGACUGGGGUCAUGGAAUCUGCUUGCUGUUGGGAGCAUUAGUUCUUAUCGCAAGGGAAAGCAAACUUAGCUCUCAGAAACUAGGCAGCUUCAUGGAGAUGCUCUUUGGGGGUCGCUAUGUACUCCUGUUGAUGUCAAUAUUUUCAAUUUACUGUGGCUUGAUAUAUAAUGAAUUCUUCUCAGUUCCCUUUCACAUAUUUGGUGACUCAGCGUACAAAUGCCGAGAUGCUACAUGCAGUGAUGCACGGACAGUUGGUUUAGUAAAAUACAAUGAUCCAUAUCCAUUUGGUGUGGACCCAAGCUGGAGAGGCAGCCGUUCAGAGCUUCCUUUCUUGAAUUCUCUUAAGAUGAAGAUGUCUAUUUUGUUGGGUGUGGCCCAGAUGAACCUCGGAAUUAUUUUAAGUUAUUUCAAUGCACGUUUCUUCAGCAGCUCAAUUGAUAUUAAGUAUCAGUUUAUUCCACAAAUAAUCUUUCUCAACAGCCUCUUUGGAUACCUUUCUCUUCUUAUUCUUGUCAAAUGGUGCACUGGUUCUCAAGCAGAUCUAUAUCAUGUUAUGAUUUAUAUGUUCUUAAGUCCUUUUGAGGCUCUUGGUGAAAAUAGGUUGUUCUGGGGCCAGAGUGUGCUUCAGGUACGAGGUAAUAUUGCUGCUUUUGGCACUUGUUGCUGUCCCGUGGAUGCUCUUCCCAAAACCUUUUAUUUUGAAAAGUCUUCAUAUGGAGAGAUUUCAAGGUCGUACAUACGGGAUACUUGGAACCUCCGAGAUGGUUAUUGACGAAGAACCAGGCUCUGCCAGUCAGCAUGCUGAGGAGUUUAACUUUAGUGAGGUUUUUGUGCACCAAAUGAUACACUCUAUUGAAUUUGUUCUUGGUGCUGUUUCAAACACUGCAUCGUAUCUUCGGCUUUGGGCUUUGAGUUUGGCUCACUCUGAAUUAUCUACUGUGUUCUAUGAGAAAGUUCUCCUCCUUGCCUGGGGGUAUGAUAACAUCGUCAUUCGGCUAGUGGGGCUGGCAGUUUUUGCCUUUGCGACAACUUUUAUCCUACUUAUGAUGGAGACUCUUAGUGCAUUCCUUCAUGCAUUGCGUCUUCAUUGGGUGGAAUUCCAGAACAAGUUUUAUCAUGGGGAUGGUUAUAAGUUCAAGCCAUUCUCCUUUGCCUUGUUAGCAGAUGAUGACGAUUAGUACAUAGCCUUUCUUUCUCUCUUUUUCUGUUGGGGAAUUCUAUGGAGAAGAAGAGUUUUCCAUCUGGAGAAGAAGCCUGACAAGAAUUUCGUAAGGACCCAAUUUUGACUAACUGGCACUUUGUACACUCUUUAUUUGGAUCAGCUGGAUUAUGUAGGAUAGAAUUGUAAAUUUACAGCACAGGAUCUUUUGGUAUAGCAGUAUGAAAAGGGCUCUGAGGUCGUAGUUAGGUGUUGAGGAAGAGAUCUGUAAAGUAUUCUCAUUCCUAUAUCCUUAUCGUAUACUCCCAAACAGGGAUUCAGUCAUAGUGAUUUGUGAAGAUGGAAUGUUUUAUACCACUGUAUCUUCAGAGUUUCACAUCUUUUUGUUGCUGAAUCUAAAACUAUACGCACAAUUCAUAUUCGUUUUUGUGGGAAGUUGUCCUUCCGGUUUUGUAAUAAUAAACCCUCUUUUACGGUCUAA